CAGGGUAUAGACCCGAAACCCGGUGAUCUAGCCAUGGGCAGGUUGAAAGUUGGGUAACACUAACUGGAGGACCGAACCGACUAAUGUUGAAAAAUUAGCGGAUGACCUGUGGCUGGGGGUGAAAGGCCAAUCAAACCGGGAGAUAGCUGGUUCUCCCCGAAAGCUAUUUAGGUAGCGCCUCGUGAAUUCAUCUCCGGGGGUAGAGCACUGUUUCGGCUAGGGGGCCAUCCCGGCUUACCAACCCGAUGCAAACUGCGAAUACCGGAGAAUGUUAUCACGGGAGACACACGGCGGGUGCUAACGUCCGUCGUGAAGAGGGAAACAACCCAGACCGCCAGCUAAGGUCCCAAAGUCAUGGUUAAGUGGGAAACGAUGUGGGAAGGCCCAGACAGCCAGGAUGUUGGCUUAGAAGCAGCCAUCAUUUAAAGAAAGCGUAAUAGCUCACUGGUCGAGUCGGCCUGCGCGGAAGAUGUAACGGGGCUAAACCAUGCACCGAAGCUGCGGCAGCGACGCUGAUGCGUUGUUGGGUAGGGGAGCGUUCUGUAAGCCUGCGAAGGUGUGUCGUGAGGCAUGCUGGAGGUAUCAGAAGUGCGAAUGCUGACAUAAGUAACGAUAAAGCGGGUGAAAAGCCCGCUCGCCGGAAGACCAAGGGUUCCUGUCCAACGUUAAUCGGGGCAGGGUGAGUCGACCCCUAAGGCGAGGCCGAAAGGCGUAGUCGAUGGGAAACGGGUUAAUAUUCCCGUACUUGGUGUUACUGCGAAGGGGGGACGGAGAAGGCUAUGUUGGCCGGGCGACGGUUGUCCCGGUUUAAGCGUGUAGGUGUGUGUUCCAGGUAAAUCCGGUUCACUUUAACACUGAGGCGUGAUGACGAGGCACUACGGUGCUGAAGCAACAAAUGCCCUGCUUCCAGGAAAAGCCUCUAAGCAUCAGGUAACAUCAAAUCGUACCCCAAACCGACACAGGUGGUCAGGUAGAGAAUACCAAGGCGCUUGAGAGAACUCGGGUGAAGGAACUAGGCAAAAUGGUGCCGUAACUUCGGGAGAAGGCACGCUGACACGUAGGUGAAGUGAUUUACUCAUGGAGCUGAAGUCAGUCGAAGAUACCAGCUGGCUGCAACUGUUUAUUAAAAACACAGCACUGUGCAAACACGAAAGUGGACGUAUACGGUGUGACGCCUGCCCGGUGCCGGAAGGUUAAUUGA
rnacentral:rRNA from 1 species